UACGUAGGGCGCAAGCGUUGUCCGGAAUUAUUGGGCGUAAAGAGCUCGUAGGCGGCCAGUUGCGUCCGCUGUGAAAUCCCGGGGCUUAACCCCGGGCGUGCAGUGGAUACGGGCUGGCUAGAGGCAGGCAGGGGAGAACGGAAUUCCCGGUGUGAGCGGUGAAAUGCGCAGAUAUCGGGAGGAACGACCGGUGGCGAAGGCGGUUCUCUGGGCCUGUACUGACGCUGAGGAGCGAAAGCGUGGGGGAGCAAACAGG
rnacentral:rRNA from 1 species